AUACGUAGGUGGCAAGCGUUGUCCGGAAUUACUGGGCGUAAAGAGCUCGUAGGUGGUUUGUCGCGUCGUCUGUGAAAUUCCGGGGCUUAACUCCGGGCGUGCAGGCGAUACGGGCAUAACUUGAGUACUGUAGGGGAGACUGGAAUUCCUGGUGUAGCGGGGAAAUGCGCAGAUAUCAGGAGGAACACCGGUGGCGAAGGCGGGUCUCUGGGCAGUAACUGACGCUGAGGAGCGAAAGCAUGGGUAGCGAACAGGAUUAGAUACCCUGGUAGUCCAUGCCGUAAACGGUGGGCGCUAGGUGUAGGGGUCUUCCACGACUUCUGUGCCGUAGCUAACGCAUUAAGCGCCCCGCCUGGGGAGUACGGCCGCAAGGCUAAAACUCAAAUGAAUUGACGGGG
rnacentral:rRNA from 1 species